GGAGCGGUGGCCAAGUGGUAAGGCGUCGGUUUCGUAAACCGAAGAGCGCGGGUUCGAUGCCCGUCCGUGCCC
rfam:Lepisosteus oculatus linkage group LG12, whole genome shotgun sequence.